UAGUGAGGAAAUAAUGGACCCAACAAA
rnacentral:piRNA from 1 species